GUGAAUCAUCGAAUCUUUGAACGCAAAUUGCACUCUCUUCGGAGAGUAUGCCUGUUUGAGGGUCAGCCUAAAAAAAAAAUCGACAUAGUCGCUGUUUCGCGGUGACAUUCGUCGGAAAUUGGUUCAUCUUAAACCUUUUUUUUUUAAUCUUCUUAAAAUUUUUUUUACGAUUCCACGAACGUUUCUAAGAUUUUCUUCUUAUACGUUUAAGGUAUCGAUCUUAAUUAAACGUGA
rnacentral:misc_RNA from 1 species